GACGUAGGGAGCGAGCGUUGUCCGGAUUCAUUGGGCGUAAAGCGUGCGUAGGCGGCCUCGCAAGUCGGUUGUGAAAUCCCGGGGCUCAACCCCGGGACUGCGUCCGAUACUGCGAGGCUGGAGGUAGGUAGGGGAGAUCGGAAUUCCUGGUGUAGCGGUGAAAUGCGCAGAUAUCAGGAGGAACACCGGUGGCGAAGGCAGGUCUCUGGGCAUUAACUGACGCUGAGGAGCGAAAGCAUGGGGAGCGAACAGG
rnacentral:rRNA from 1 species